GGUGGCUCAGUGGUAGAGUGCUUGUUUUACGUGCAUGAGCACCUGAGUUCGAUUCCUCAGCACCA
rnacentral:tRNA from 1 species